AGGCUUAACACAUGCAAGUCGAGGGGCAGCAUAAUUUGUAGCAAUACAGAUUGAUGGCGACCGGCGCACGGGUGAGUAACGCGUAUGCAACUUACCUAUCAGAGGGGGAUAGCCCGGCGAAAGUCGGAUUAAUACCCCAUAAAACAGGGGUCCCGCAUGGGAAUAUUUGUUAAAGAUUCAUCGCUGAUAGAUAGGCAUGCGUUCCAUUAGGCAGUUGGCGGGGUAACGGCCCACCAAACCGACGAUGGAUAGGGGUUCUGAGAGGAAGGUCCCCCACAUUGGUACUGAGACACGGACCAAACUCCUACGGGAGGCAGCAGUGAGGAAUAUUGGUCAAUGGCCGAGAGGCUGAACCAGCCAAGUCGCGUGAAGGAAGAAGGAUCUAUGGUUUGUAAACUUCUUUUAUAGGGGAAUAAAGUGGAGGACGUGUCCUUUUUUGUAUGUACCCUAUGAAUAAGCAUCGGCUAACUCCGUGCCAGCAGCCGCGGUAAUACGGAGGAUGCGAGCGUUAUCCGGAUUUAUUGGGUUUAAAGGGUGCGUAGGUGGUGAUUUAAGUCAGCGGUGAAAGUUUGUGGCUCAACCAUAAAAUUGCCGUUGAAACUGGGUUACUUGAGUGUGUUUGAGGUAGGCGGAAUGCGUGGUGUAGCGGUGAAAUGCAUAGAUAUCACGCAGAACUCCGAUUGCGAAGGCAGCUUACUAAACCAUAACUGACACUGAAGCACGAAAGCGUGGGGAUCAAACAGGAUUAGAUACCCUGGUAGUCCACGCAGUAAACGAUGAUUACUAGGAGUUUGCGAUACAAUGUAAGCUCUACAGCGAAAGCGUUAAGUAAUCCACCUGGGGAGUACGCCGGCAACGGUGAAACUCAAAGGAAUUGACGGGGGCCC
rnacentral:rRNA from 1 species